UUCGCCCUUAGAGUUUGAUCCUGGCUCAGAGCGAACGCUGGCGGCAGGCUUAACACAUGCAGGUCGAACGCAUCCUUCGGGAUGAGUGGCAGACGGGUGAGUAACACGUGGGAACGUGCCCUCCGGUCUGGGAUAACCCUGGGAAACUAGGGCUAAUACCGGAUACGUGCUUUGGCAGAAAGGUUUACUGCCGGAGGAUCGGCCCGCGUCUGAUUAGCUAGUUGGUGGGGUAACGGCCUACCAAGGCGACGAUCAGUAGCUGGUCUGAGAGGAUGAUCAGCCACACUGGGACUGAGACACGGCCCAGACUCCUACGGGAGGCAGCAGAAGGG
rnacentral:rRNA from 1 species